AUUAUUGGAUUAUAAGAAAAAUCGCUCACAACUCUUAUUAUUGAAUUCUUGGCACUGUCGACGGGACAAUCAGAAAAAGGCUAGAGAUUGGAGAGGUUUGGAGGCACUAAGGAAAGGAAAGACAUUGGAGAAAUAGUUUGCCUGACUUCGGUUCUUCGGUGGAGAUUGGAGAUGUUUGGAGGCGUUAAGGAAUGGAAAGACAUUGGAGAAAUAGUUUGCUUGACUUCGGUUCUUCGGUGGAGCUGUAUUUAAAUAAACAUUAUGAGUUUUAGGGAGUUUCUCAUCGUCUACUUUUAUCUCUGGAAUUUUACCGUCUUCCGAUCGACGUAGCUCUGCAUUUUUAUAGUUAUGCUGCUGAUUUAUACAAGCUUUAGACUUCAGGUUAACUUCAUUAGUUUUUAGCUUUUGUAUCUCAUUAUCCAUACUAUCCACAUUAGUACAGAGUGUAGUAAUGACUUUUAGUAGCUUUUAAAUUGUAUCUUCAUCUUUGUUCUCAGUCUGAGUAGCUUUGUUUUGAUAAGUAGUCUGCAACACCAUUCUUAUUAGUCUUUAUCACUUCAAUUGUAAAUGUAAAGUGUAAUAUAUUUAAUACCAAUCUUCUUAUUUCUUUCGUUGUUACUGAAUCUUGUAUUUUUCUUGUUAACCACCAUUUUACUUGUGUAUUAUCUUUUCAUACAAUAAAUUUGUUAUAUACAAUAUAUGGCUCAAAUUCUAAUAAACAUUUAUAUACUGAAAAAUAAUUCUUUUCUAUUUAUUUCCCAUUUUAUUUCCGUAUUUGUAUAUGUGCAUGAAUAAUAUCUAUAGUGAUAUUCAAUAUUAUUAUCAUUAUUUUUA